CAUGCUCUGAGGAUAUAAAUAUCUUUUUCAUAUUAUAUUACACUGAGUUAUGUAGUGCGACAUUAUUGAGCGCUGCCAGCUAGAGAGGAAGAUCGGACAUCCUCUUCCGUGCAUGUUGAUUUCUGAACUCCUUUAACAACAUCAUCUGUUUCUUCAGAUAGGCCUCUCCAGCAUAGCUGUAUUGGAAAUGUGAAAGUGUUUAUGUCAGAGAAGCAGGACUACAAGUACAUUGUAAGAGGCAUAACCGAAAGGUGUCUUACAGCAGUUCUGUCUUAAUUUUGAUGACAAAAUCUGAAUCAAUUCCAUGCAUAAAAAGAAUGCCAGUUUCAUGAGAUCAGAAUUAACGAAGAUACACCAAUUUCUUUCCUCUGUAGAUUAAAGAAAUGAACAAAACCCACUGUGCCAAAAUAUGCAUCCCACUUCUAUCCUUUCCUGUAUAUCCUGAGUACACACCCAGGAAGAGAAGUUGACAGUGAAGCAGUAUUUAAUAAUCUUUCUGUCACAGUUAUUGAAUAACAAAAGUUUUCUGCAAAUGAACCUCAGGAGAGAGACCAAACUCAGCAGUAACUAAAUGGAAAUUAAAAACCAAAAGAGACAACUUUCAAUGGCUAUUUACCUAAAAAGAAGUGAAAUUCUCUGUGCUGUCUUCCAGAUUGAAAAGAACUUCUACAAAAUAUGAAACCAGGACAUUAAAAUACUAGCCACUGAUUUUCAAACAAUACUGUAAGUUCUUGAAUAUUUUAGGGUUCUGCUUUGAGCUGUUGUCUCUAAGCAACACAACAGGCAAUGUAGCAAUGUUUCAUAUGACUAUAAAAUAUAUCUACAGUUCUUUUCACCUAAAUAGUGAAGUUGCUAAACCUUUGGAGACACCUAUGUUAAACAGUGGAUUAGUUGGUAAAACCCAGAAGAUUGAUUUUUUUCAUUCGUCACUAUGAGACUCAACUGAGAACGCUCCUCAUCAAAAAACAGCAUUGAAAUGGGGGAAAAAAAAAGGUAAGAUUAAGAAACAGUACACUUUUAAUACCUUACAGCACCUGAAAUUAUCAAUUACUUUUUUAGAAAAGAUACUGUGUUUAUUAGAAAGUGGUAUUAAGGAUGCAUCCUUAUCAUAAGGAUAAAGAUGUGAAUUACUGGCUGUGUAACAAAGAGAUGAAUUGAAGAAAGGUCUGGAGGGAAUUUUACAGAUGUCCUAGUCAUGAGAAACUUUGCAAAAAGCUUGUGAAGCUGCCCACAGAUUUGAAGCUGUGAGAAAUCUGAAAUGCCAUGGAUGACUGUGACACUGCUUAAAAUUGCUGAGGUUAAUGGGCUGCAUGGUGGCUAUUAUGAAUGUCACUUAACUGCACUGCUUUUACAGAACAGAGUUUUCCUCUUCCAGUGAUGUUAAUUAUGAAGCAUAUGUAUUCUGAGACAGCAUAAUGGAUGCUAUUGUUCCAUUUGUGAAAACACUUGAUGUUUAUCGGUGCUUAAGGGACAACAUGCUGCAUAAUUCUGCUGUACUUAAUUUUAUAUUGUACAUAAUAUAGCACCACAUUUUUUGCUUUCCAGUAGAACAUCACAGUUUUCUUUGUCACAUUAGAACAGUAAAAAACUGUUCUCACUUUUAUUAUGGUCAAUGAACCUCAUUCAAUACUUGUGAUUUUGGAAAAUGAGUGAAGGCUUUCUUCAGCCUGGUCUCCUGUCUUUUAUCCCCUGCAGAACUAAUUUGGACUAAAUCAAGUCAUAAGCAAACUUACCAAAUAUCAUGAAACUAGUGCCAUGGGCACAAGAGCUGGUAGAUGGCAACAGCUACAGAGGGUAGAGUUCUAACAUUCCAAACAGUCUUAAUUCCUACCUCUUCCCUUCUUUUUCCUCUGGGCAAUGUAGAAGAGAGGCUUUCAGGUUUGCUCUGGAUAUGUAUAUAUGGAUGUCUUAAUAAAGAGCAUUGAAAAUUU